rnacentral:rRNA from 1 species
AUUGAACGCUGGCGGCGUGCCUAACACAUGCAAGUCGAGCGGUAACAGGUGUAGCAAUACAUGCUGACGAGCGGCGAACGGGUGAGUAAUGCUUCGGAAUCUACCCAAUGGUGGGGAAUAACCAGCCGAAAGGUUGGCUAAUACCGCAUACGUCCCACGGGAGAAAGCAGGGGAUCGCAAGACCUUGCGCCAAUGGAUGAGCCGAAGUCGGAUUAGCUAGUUGGAGGGUAACGGCCUACCAAGGCGACGAUCCGUAGCUGGUCUGAGAGGACGACCAGCCACACUGGGACUGAGACACGGCCCAGACUCCUACGGGAGGCAGCAGUGGGGAAUAUUGGACAAUGGGGGAAACCCUGAUCCAGCGACGCCGCGUGUGUGAAGAAGGCCUGCGGGUUGUAAAGCACUUUUA